AUUAAAAUAAAAUAGGUAGUAUUCAAAUAACAAGAAACCUUUAUAAAAUGGCGGCAUUUCAUCUUACUAGAGGAACAUGUUAUUUAAUCGAUAACACACGAUUAAUUUCACUUAUUUUAAAAUUUUAUAUACCUCCAUCCAUAAAUUAAUCUUAAUACAUUUUUUAAAUAAAAUUAUAGAAGGGUAGGUAAAGGCGUAAACAAAAAAUAAGAUUUAAAUGUGUUACAUUAAAAAUUAUUUAAGGAUUUUUAUUUUAAUAUAAUAUGAAAAAGGAUUUAGAAGUAAAUUUAACAUAAUAUUUUAACUUGAAUAAGAAAAUAAAUGUGC
rnacentral:rRNA from 1 species